rnacentral:sRNA from 1 species
ACUUGCCAAGGCUGAGUGUGAGCUGAGCCUGCCCCACCACCAAGAUGAUCCUGAGCUUGCUGUUCAGCCUUGGGGGCCCCCUGGGCUGGGGGCUGCUGGGGGCAUGGGCCCAGGCUUCCAGUACUAGCCUCUCUGAUCUGCAGAGCUCCAGGACACCUGGGGUCUGGAAGGCAGAGGCUGAGGACACCGGCAAGGACCCCGUUGGACGGAUAAUGGAUUCCAGAAUCCCACCACUGCUCCGGCAGGAGGCGAGGACCGGUGGCUCUGCACUGGCACCCCCUGUUGACCUGAGUGUGGCUCAGCAGCCUUCUCCUCUGGCUUGUUUUCCAGUAACUGGUGCCCCUACCCAAUGUCCAAGCUGGUCACCUUACUAGCUCUUUGCAAAACAGAGAAAUUCCUCAUCCACUCGCAGCAGCCGUGUCUGCAGGGAGCUCCAGACUGCCAGAAAGUCAAAGUCAUGUGAGUAGGGGAGGGUGGGCCAUUUGCCCAGGCCUGGAGCGGGCCCUCCCUGGAAUCACUGAGCCAGCCCUCCUCCUCUU